GUGCUUGCUUUGGCAGCCCUUAUACUAAAAUUGGAAUGAUACAGAGAAGAUUAUCACAGCCACGGCUCAAGGAUGACAUAAAUAUGCGAAGCAUGCCAUAAAAAA